rnacentral:rRNA from 2 species
AGUCGACGAGCUCUCCCAAAUUGAUUUUAUGCUUGCAUAAAUGAUUUUUGGAUUCGGAGCGAGUGGCGAACUGGUGAGUAACACGUGGGUAACCUGCCCCGAAGCGGGGGAUAACAUUUGGAAACAAGUGCUAAUACCGCAUAAUUAGUUGGAACCGCAUGGUUCCAACUUGAAAGAUGGCUCUGCUAUCACUUUGGGAUGGACCCGCGCCGUAUUAGUUAGUUGGUGAGAUAAAAGCCCACCAAGACGAUGAUACGUAGCCGACCUGAGAGGGUAAUCGGCCACAUUGGGACUGAGACACGGCCCAGACUCCUACGGGAGGCAGCAGUAGGGAAUCUUCCACAAUGGACGAAAGUCUGAUGGAGCAACGCCGCGUGAGUGAUGAAGGUUUUCGGAUCGUAAAACUCUGUUGUUAAAGAAGAACAAGUGUUAGAGUAACUGUUAACACUUUGACGGUAUUUAACCAGAAAGCCACGGCUAACUACGUGCCAGCAGCCGCGGUAAUACGUAGGUGGCAAGCGUUGUCCGGAUUUAUUGGGCGUAAAGCGAGCGCAGGCGGUUUUGUAAGUCUGCUGUGAAAGCCCUCAGCUCAACUGAGGAAGUGCAGUGGAAACUACAAAACUUGAGUACAGAAGAGGAAAGUGGAACUCCAUGUGUAGCGGUGAAAUGCGUAGAUAUAUGGAAGAACACCAGUGGCGAAGGCGGCUUUCUGGUCUGUUACUGACGCUGAGGCUCGAAAGCAUGGGUAGCGAACAGGAUUAGAUACCCUGGUAGUCCAUGCCGUAAACGAUGAAUACUAGGUGUUGGAGGGUUUCCGCCCUUCAGUGCCGCAGCUAACGCAUUAAGUAUUCCGCCUGGGGAGUACGACCGCAAGGUUGAAACUCAAAGGAAUUGACGGGGGCCCGCACAAGUGGUGGAGCAUGUGGUUUAAUUCGAUGCUACGCGAAGAACCUUACCAGCUCUUGACAUCUUCUGCCAACCCAAGAGAUUGGGCGUUCCCUUCGGGGACAGAAUGACAGGUGGUGCAUGGUUGUCGUCAGCUCGUGUCGUGAGAUGUUGGGUUAAGUCCCGCAACGAGCGCAACCCUUAUUAUUAGUUGCCAGCAUUUAGUUGGGCACUCUAGUGAGACUGCCGGUGAUAAACCGGAGGAAGGUGGGGACGACGUCAAAUCAUCAUGCCCCUUAUGAGCUGGGCUACACACGUGCUACAAUGGAUGGUACAACGAGUCGCGAAACCGCGAGGUCAAGCUAAUCUCUUAAAGCCAUUCUCAGUUCGGAUUGCAGGCUGCAACUCGCCUGCAUGAAG